GACGAACGCUGGCGGCGUGCUUAACACAUGCAAGUCGAACGGUAAGGCCCUUCGGGGUACACGAGUGGCGAAUGGGUGAGUAACACGUGGGUGAUCUGCCCUGCACUUCGGGAUAAGCCUGGGAAACUGGGUCUAAUACCGGAUAGGACCCUGGGAUGCAUGUCCUGGGGUGGAAAGCUUUGCGGUGUGGGAUGGGCCCGCGGCCUAUCAGCUUGUCGGUGGGGUGAUGGCCUACCAAGGCGACGACGGGUAGCCGGCCUGAGAGGGUGACCGGCCACACUGGGACUGAGAUACGGCCCAGACGCCGACGGGAGGCAGCAGUGGAGAAUAUUGCACAAUGGGCGCAAGCCUGAUGCAGCGGCGCCGCGUGAGGGAUGACGGCCUUCGGGUUGUAAACCUCUUUCAGCACCGACGAAGCGCAAGUGACGGUAGGUGCAGAAGAAGGACCGGCCAACUACGUGCCAGCAGCCGCCGCCG
rnacentral:rRNA from 1 species